GAUGAACGCUGGCGGCGUGCCUAAUACAUGCCAGUCGAGCGAAUGGACGAGAAGCUUGCUUCUCUGAUGUUAGCGGCGGACGGGUGAGUAACACGUGGAUAACCUACCUAUAAGACUGGGAUAACUUCGGGAAACCGGAGCUAAUACCGGAUAAUAUUUUGAACCGCAUGGUUCAAAAGUGAAAGACGGUCUUGCUGUCACUUAUAGAUGGAUCCGCGCUGCAUUAGCUAGUUGGUAAGGUAACGGCUUACCAAGGCAACGAUGCAUAGCCGACCUGAGAGGGUGAUCGGCCACACUGGAACUGAGACACGGUCCAGACUCCUACGGGAGGCAGCAGUAGGGAAUCUUCCGCAAUGGGCGAAAGCCUGACGGAGCAACGCCGCGUGAGUGAUGAAGGUCUUCGGAUCGUAAAACUCUGUUAUUAGGGAAGAACAUAUGUGUAAGUAACUGUGCACAUCUUGACGGUACCUAAUCAGAAGGCCACGGCUAACUACGUG
rnacentral:rRNA from 1 species